UAGAAGUAUAGUGAUAAUUCUGGAAGGACCAUAUUGACAUAAUCUGUAAGGAGGCAACUCUUGUUCAGAAGUGAUAGUCAAAAUGGAAUCUGGAAAUGUUUCAAAGUUAGAAUUUUCAAUCUGUUUAAGAUUAGGAAACUUAAUGCAAGAAGGAUGUUUCCAAGGAGCUGAUCUCCUUUGGAAUACUCUGUAAUGAUUGUUGUCAAGUCUUUCUGACUUUGUGCAUAAUCAUUACAAGAGGAUCAAUGCAUAUAAGUUUAGAAUCUAACAUAUUUCAGUAAAUGGCAUGAAUUUGGAAUUCUUGCAUUUGCAGUAAGGGUUUGGGACUGUGAAAGAGGAUCAUUGGAGUUAUGUUCGAUUGAUCUAAUUCACAAAGUGAAGAUCAUAGACAAACAUAGUAUGCAUACUUGGUGUAUGGCAUGACUAGUGUUUAGAAAACAUAGUGUACAUGCUUGGAGCAUGGGACAACUAUUGUUUUAAAUUCAAGAAUAAAGUUGAUAGCUGAAACAGUAUACAAUGAAUAAUGUGUAAUCAUAUGGUGAUAAAUAAAAGGUGUUUUAUUUAUGUUCAUAGGUUUUGAUACCAUAUUGGAUUCAAUUAUUAUUGUGUUUCACUUUGCAUGUUUUGACUUCCCGAAUAAACUAGGUUAUUCUUCCGGAAUGACUAAGUUAUUCAAACCAUCCACAGUCGGUCAUAUGUUGGAAGUAGAUAUGAAUUAAGACUGUCAUGGGUUGGCUUGUAGAGGUCUAAGGUGUUGGACAAAGGGCUACAACACUCAUGAGUGCUCAUAAGUUCUGAGUAUUGGAUUCAACCCGCGCUCAUUGGAAUCACUUCAUGGAUUUUAUCACGAGUGAUCAUGAGACGAUAAUAUCUUAUAUUCUUCAAACCUAGAGAUAUGAGUUGUUACUAUGAGUUGAUAGUACAUUGAUUGCACGAAAACGCAUUUGGUAACUCGGUGCUAUAAAACGUGUCUUUGUGUAUGAUUCAACAAGUAGUAGAACAAGCCAUAUGAGUCGAAGUUUAUCCAUUCCUUUUACCUUCGGGAUAAAAGCGAUAUCUGUGGGCCCCUCGAUGAUUUGAUGAUGACAAAUGGAAGUGCUCGGCCGGGCCAGGACUGAUUUGAUUUGUUCAAUUAGUCAGUCGUCAUAAAUCGGAAAUCGGGAAACAACAAAUGGACAGAGAGAAUGAUUAUAAUCCAUGUCUCAGUCCAUAUGAUAUCUAGAAUGGAGGAAUAUAUGAUCCCUUAUCUAAUGGACAAGUCAUUGACAAAGGUCAGAGUUCAUCUACAAGGUCAGAGUUCGACAGAAGCUUUUGAGAGCUACGAUUGCCAGUUGGUUCCUGAAGUCAUACGCAAUAAUAGUUUUAGACUUAUCCAAGUGGGAGACUGUUGGAUUAAUGUCUAAGUCCAUAACUAUAAUUGGUAAGACUUGACCCGACCCGGCAUGGUCCAUUUGGGUUGCAUACCAUCAUGCACUUGGAUAGACUAUAAUGAGAGAAAUAAGACACUUAUGGUUAUUAAUAUAUUAUAAGUUCUAGUAUAUUAAUAAUAAGAAUAAUAAGAUUAUUUAAUUAGUAUUGAUCAAGAAUUAAUCUAGGAUUAAUUAAGUGAUCAAAAGAAGACUAAUUAAAUAUAUGGGUUGAUUGUGUAAAUCAUCCAUACUUGUAUAGUGGGCUAAUGCUCCAUGGAUAAUCAAGUUGGGCUAAAACCCAUAGGAUGGUCCAUGGAUGCUCCAUGGUGUAUUUGUACCCAUGGAUCCAAGGAAAUGGAAAGCCAUGACAAUUAAGAGUUUACCCUAAUUGUGUAACUAUAUAAGCAUCUUAUUAUUGAGGAAAAAUCGGCCACUAGUAGUAUUCAAGAAAGGGCUAGCCGAUUUUGGUGAGUGUAGAAUUCUCUCAAGUCAUUCUAAGUGUUUUGAUGAUUGUGAUUCCAUUUGAGGUGUCACACUUGGGGCACUAAGCACUCAAGCUUCAUGAAGACUUUCUACAUCAAGAGGUAUGUAUUCUAUCUUGUUACAUUAUUGUUUUGUAUGCUAGAUUAGGAUAAUACCUUGGAAGUUCUUAUUUGCAUGUAUAAUAGAGAAAACAUAGAUCCAAGGUAUUUAGGGUUGCAUGUACACUUAGGAGUGUUAGAAUGCUCAAAACCCAACAGUGGUAUCAGAGCCUAGGCUUGUUUUCUUGUUAUACCUGCAAUAGAAGCUGAAAAAACGAAUCUGGUGCUGUCUGGCCAUCAGACUCGGCGAGUCCAUCAGGAGACUCGACGAGUCCAUGCCUAAAAAGUGAUGAAUUCGAUCCAACUCGCCGAGUUUGUUCAUGCACUCGACGAGUUGGACCCCCAGACAGCAUAUUUUCGAGUUUUUUGGCUAGAAAUGGACUAGGAACAUUACCCUAAGUUGUUUUUGAACUUAUAAACUUGUUUUUGAUGUGGUAAUGUUCAUGCUAAUCCAUUUUCAAAGAUAAUUGUCAAUAGAUUCAUGUUUUGUAUUAGUUUAAGGUUUAGACUAAUUACAUGAAAAAGUUUGAUUUGAAUUAUCUUGUUCUUAUGAGUUGCUUAGAUUAAUAGAAAUGUUGAGUGAAAUAGUUGUUUUCAAUCCAUUUUAAUCUAAGAGUUGAGUAUAAAAUGUGUUUGUGUAACUUGUCCUCAAGUUACAUGAAGAGUCACAUUAAAGACUCAUAAAACUCAUAAGAGUUGGCAAUGGUUACAAAAUGAAGAGUCUUGUGUCAUUGAAUAAUUUUUUUUGACUCCAUAACUUGUCCUCAAGUUAUGGAAGUUCAAGAGUCACUUCAUUAAAGAAAAAUAUGUAACCAUAAUUAAAUCCAUAAGUUAUAAAAUAAAGAAAAAGUUAGUUCUUUUAUUAGUUUAAAGUCUUCCAUAACUUGUCCUCAAGUUAUGGAACUUGAAGAGUUUUUGGAUUAAAACUACUUUAAACACAUAAGUUAUGGAAUUAAUUAGUUUUGAAUAGUUUCAAAACUUGCCCUCAAGUUUUGGAAUUUGAAAAGUUUUCAAGUAUGAAUACUUUAAUUCCAAGUUAGCCCUUAGAAUUUUAAAAGUUAAAAUUCAACCCUUAUACUUUAUAAUAUUAUAAGUUAAUAAUAUAUAUAUGUAUAAGAGUAAAGUCAGUCUUACCGCUAGUACGCCUCAUUCACGAAGCCGGUCUAUAAGGUGGGUAUAAGGUUGUUGCCUAUAAAAUGGCAACUUAAUGGGUGUCCACUCUCACCCACCGCUUGCUUGACUGGUGGAGGGUCGUUAGCCGAACGGGUUUGACAGGACUAGAAUUCUCCCUUCAUUAAAAGUAUUAAUGAUAAUACUAAGUAACUAAACUCUUAAUAAUACCCAAUCUUAGUUACUUAGGAAAAAUGUGAAUAAGGUGCUAAUCCAUGAAAUUACACUUUACACUUUGUCUAAGUCGUUAGUGGAGCGUGUGUGGUUAACCGGCACACUAACUUGGACUUAACAAGGUAGGUAAAGGGUGACUUAAUAUUUAUCAUAGUAUCGAUGGAGCGUGUGUGGUUAACCGGCACAUCGAUUGAGGGGUAAUUUAUUAAGGGUACCAAGUGAUUUGCAUGGUUACUUCACACCUUGUUUUGUGAUCCUCGGCAUCCCAGUCACAAAACCUGAAGGGCACACUCGAGAUUGAAACAUGCCUUUGAAAAGUUCAAUGAAUCUCAAAGAUCUAGGAGUUUCAAAACCAAUUAAAACCUAAUAAUACAUUUCGUUUAUCUUGGUGGAAAUUGGUGAAUCGUCAUUCACCUACCUUCAAAUAUUUUAUAGCUUGGAUUACGGCAUACCUCUUCUAAGUUAUAAAAUAGUUUGUUGGGUCCUAGCCUUAAUAUUUCAUAUUGGGUGUCAUAUUAAGGACUUUAAAUCAACUAUCUUGAAUAUCUCCCAAAAGAUGUCUGGUUUAGACACCUAUGAUCUUCCCAAAUCUCUUGAAACAAGGUUUCCUAAUGAAGAUGAUGUCCCAUGGAUAUCAUACUUCUUCACCUCUUCAAAUUAUUCUCCCUAACCCACAAGUUCUUGAAAAGUUUAAGGUCACUCAGGCCCUAUUGGCAAGGCAAGGUCUAGGUGUGGUCACAUCUUGGAGAUGUAGUCACAUAUUGACAAGCCGGGAGAGUUGGGUGUCAAAGUCUUGAGAAAGUUGGUGGUUCAACCACUUUCUAAGUCACAUAGUGAGUUCCUUUGGGACACCUAUGAAACAGACUAUGACAAGACCCUUAAUGAUCUUAUCUAUUUGCUAAGAUCAACUUCCUAAAACUUUAUGGACAUUGACAAUGAUGACAUUGGAUAUCCAGUAAAGCAUUCUCUUCCCAAUGGAAAGGGAUCGGCCAUAGUCAACUCGGUUGACCAAAUGGUAAAGAGAAAAGCUAAGUCUGUGAUAGUCCCGUGUACCAUUAUCAAAGGGUCCAUAUGUUUAUAUUGCCAAAGGAAGGGGCAUUGGUUGCGAAGCUGCCAAAUUUACCUAAGGAUGUUAAAGUCAAUAAGUUUGACUCUACUUCAGGUAAAGUCCACUAUCUAACUCUGUUAAGUUUCUAUUCUGAGAUUCUUGAUACAUGAUGUGACUGGGUCACAUGGUGAUGUUUUAAGAAUCAAAGAAAAGUGAAGAAACUUAAAGAAAGAAUAUGCUGAAUCUGAUGGCGUAGAUGGAUUUCUAUCGCAUAGUUUGAAGAUCGGAUUCUUGAGCUACUUCUUAGGAGUUAUGAGAUAUUGCUUAGGAAUAGAUAACAACAAGUUUUCAUAUGGAUUGUAAGGAUAAGUUUUUCCGCAAAGUUUUAAAAUAAAAGAAAAUUUUUUAUAUUUUAUUUAUUUUAAAAUAUCCUUACAAUGGCAUUUGAGGAAAAAUUGUUGCUUAUAUGAUUCCAUUAAGAGCAAGAGUGGAAAUAUGAAAUUGAUUCUUUCAUUUGUGGUAAUGUCUAAAUUUACCAAAUAAGGAAAGAUUCUCAUCACCCAAGUUUCAAUUGGACCGGAACUUGGAAUCAUGCAAGUUGUAUAGCAUGAUGAAUGAGAACUUUCAAGUUUUGGAAAAUUAAGACUAAUUACUUGUUCACAUGGAUGUGUGAGUCAAGUAAAGGACUUAGGGAUCGAGUACACAUUCUUGUGCACUGAUUAAGUCCACCACUAAAGAUCGAUAAGAAGAAUCAAAUAAGGCAGAAGGAUAAAAGUUUCUCAAAUCUGAAAAGAUGGGAGAGUACUUUAGUAUCAGUUUUGUGAUCAUCUUAAUGAUUAAGAAACCAUAUCAAAAUUAGUUCUCUAAGGAAAUCUUAGUGCAUUCUUAUGACUAAGAAGAGGAACUUGAAUUGUUGAAAUGGUUAAAUCAAGAAGAUGAGUCAUACUUCGUUCCAAUACAAGUCUUAGAGUCAUACUCCAAGAUUGUCAUUUGAGUGACAUGUCUUAAAGAAGGUUUAAAACACUUGUCAAAUGUAAGAGUAAAAGUUUUCUACUCUUGUACAUUUGAAAUUGGUAAGUUGUGAUGUUUUGGAUAAAACAAAGACCAACUUAGGCCAAUUGGGUAAAGUGUUUUUCUUGAUUAGAAUCCGCACUAUCUCUUGGAUGUUUGACAAGGGAGUCUUAUAUGUCAAGAGGACAGUGGGAGUCUUAAAGGUCUUGAAAGUCUCAAGAAAUAAUCAAGAAUAAAACCUAAAGUUCUUCACUAGCACACGACUUGAGGUUUAUAACCUAUCGUGUUGACAUAUCUGUGCCCAUUCCAGUUAAAGUUGGCUUUGCAUAUGAGUUCUUAGAGUUCUCAGUUUGUUGCAUAACAACUUGGAAGCAAUGGCAGGCCCUUGAGCUGCCAGGUGGCAAGAAGUUAAGAUUGAGUUCAAUCCAUAUGGUUUUGGAUUUGUCAUUAUCUUUGUCUUGUGAUUAUGGUUUGACAAAUUCAUAUGGGUAGGAACUCAUACACCAUAUAAAUCUAAGUGUCAUAAGGUUUCUCUCCGAUUCAUGAAAAUGAUGGUGAGGAAACGCUUUCACUAAGUAGAUUUUACGAAGAUAUCAAUUGUGUUAUUUGCAUUUUCAAAAGUCGUUAGUGGAGCGCGUGUGGUUAACCGGCACACUAACAUGGACUUGUGAGAAAUGGCAAAUGCCUAAGCAAUUGAGACCAUGAUUACGGUAUCCCUUUUCAUGGUUCUUGAAAUUGCUUAGACACACAGGUGAGCUAUCUACGGAAAGGGUGUAUGAAUCUAAAUUUCAGACUGUCCAGCUGAUUUCUGAGUACAUGUCAAAGCUAGUGGGAGCAUAAGUGUUAUGCUAAUAAUCAUCAUGUUAGUGGGAGCAUGAUAAUUAUGAUAAGUAUUGCAAGUUAGCAAUGUUAAUUAUAGAAAACAAAAGUUUCAAUUGGGAAAAAGUUGUUUUGCUAUAAUUAAGGGAGAGGAAAUUAUGCUUCAUCUCAAAUCUAUAAGCUUAGAUCGUGAGGUUUUAAUCAUUUAGUCAAGGAUAUAUAUGAAUUUCAUGUUGGAAUGGCUCAACAUAAGGAAAUUCUGUAUAUGGGUCCAUUAUUUGCGUUCUAAAAUUCGAUUAUGAUUACGGCAUCCCUUUUCAUAAUCUGAAUUAUGAGAACUUGGCAAAUUGAAAUGGAAAUAUUAUAGCAAAAGACUGGUUUAGUCUUUAUGUAAGACAUCAUGAAUCGUGUCCCAUAUGCUUCGGAUAUAGGAUCGAUUACAUGUGCUAUAUUCAUCCGUUCUAAAAUUUUCCAAAUGCCUGGGGCAUUAAGAAGGGAAAAGGUUUAGAACUGGAUAUGACUAAAAGGAUUAAACAAUUGUCGAGGACAAUCUAAGGUUUACCAAAGAUUGGUUACUCAAGGACAAUUGGAAGUAUAGUGAUAAUUCUGGAAGGACCAUAUUGACAUAAUCUGUAAGGAGGCAACUCUUGUUCAGAAGUGAUAGUCAAAAUGGAAUCUGGAAAUGUUUCAAAGUUAGAAUUUUCAAUCUGUGUAAGAUUAAGGAAACUUAAUGCAAGAAGGAUAUUUCCAAGGAGUUGAUCUCCUUUGGAAUACUCUGUAAUGAUUGUUGCCAAGUCUUUGUGACUUUGUGCAUAAUCAUUACAAGAGGAUCAAUGCAUAUAAGUUUAGAAUCUAACAGAUUUCAGUAAAUGGCAUGAAUUUGGAAUUCUUGCAUUUGCAGUAAGGAUUUGGGAGUGUGAAAAGAGAAUCAUUGAAGUUAUGUUCAAUUGAUCUAGUUCACAAAGUAAAGAUCAUAGACAAACAUAGUAUGCAUACUUGGUGUGUGGCAUGACUAGUGUUUAAGAAAACAUAGUGUACAUGCUUGGAGCAUGGGACAACUAUUGUUUUAAAUUCAAGAAUAAAGUUGAUAGCUGAAACAGUAUACAAUGAAUAAUGUGUAAUCAUAUGGUGAUAAAUAAAAGGUGUUUUAUUUAUGUUCAAAGGGUUGAUACCAUAUUGGAUUCAAUUAUUAUUGUGUUUCAUUUUGCAUGUUUUGACUUCCCGAAUAAACUGGGUUAUUCUUCCGGAAUGACUAAGUUAUUCAAACCAUCCACAGUCGGUCAUAUGUUGGAAGUAGAUAUGAAUUAAGACUGUCAUGGGUUGGCUUGUAGAGGUCUAAGGUGUUGGACAAAGGGCUACAACACUCAUGAGUGCUCAUAAGUUCUGAGUAUUGGAUUCAACCCGCGCUCAUUGGAAUCACUUCAUGGAUUUUAUCACGAGUGAUCAUGAGACGAUAAUAUCUUAUAUUCUUCAAACCUAGAGAUAUGAGUUGUUACUAUGAGUUGAUAGUACAUUGAUUGCACGAAAACGCAUUUGGUAACUCGGUGCUAUAAAACGUGCCUUUGUGUAUGAUUCAACAAGUAGUAGAACAAGCCAUAUGAGUCGAAGUUUAUCCAUUCCUUUUACCUUCGGGAUAAAAGCGAUAUCUGUGGGCCCCUCGAUGAUUUGAUGAUGACAAAUGGAAGUGCUCGGCCGGGCCAGGACUGAUUUGAUUUGUUCAAUUAGUCAGUCGUCAUAAAUCGGAAAUCGGGAAACAACAAAUGGACAGAGAGAAUGAUUAUAAUCCAUGUCUCAGUCCAUAUGAUAUCUAGAAUGGAGGAAUAUAUGAUCCCUUAUCUAAUGGACAAGUCAUUGACAAAGGUCAGAGUUCAUCUACAAGGUCAGAGUUCGAC
rnacentral:lncRNA from 1 species